ensembl:lncRNA
CACAAAUCUGUCAGCCAGAGACACAAACAGAGUCAAACUUAACAUUGAAUUAUAACACAGUUUUUCAAUAGCAGAAUGAAUCAAAAAACACACUGGUUUUUAGUUCUGAAAGGUGUGUCUAACAACUGUUUUAGAAUUCCAAAAGUCAAACAGGCAACGUGUGGUUGAGCAUUCCUGGUCAAAUGAUGAGUUACAAGACUCAGUGGGGAGGAAGAUUGCUCUGCACAUCACAUCUCCUUUCUGUCCACACCCCUUUAUUCCAUUCUGGCACUCUCGUGAAAGCGACACUGCAAGGUAAGGUUGGUCGGAAGAGAAGCUGCAAAGAACACCUGUGUUGUGCGAGGCAGGCAGAUGUUGAGAAUUCUGCUGAAAGUAAUGCGUGCAGGGAAAGAUCCCUGACAUCUUUCAGUUCAACGUGCCCACAUGCGAGCCCUCCGUUCAAAGGAA